rnacentral:pre_miRNA from 1 species
UCUUAUGGGUGAGCAAAGAAAGUAAUUUCUUGAGAGAGAAUCUACUCCUGGUGAAGAUACUAUAAA